GAUUGAGAUGAGGCUUAGAUUCGUAUCCCUAUUGGUUUGAAAGCGGCGACAAUGGAAAAUUUAUGUAGUAUCUCUAUCUGAUCAUUC